rfam:Ornithorhynchus anatinus chromosome 2, whole genome shotgun sequence.
AGCAGUGUGGCUAAGUGGAAAGAGCCCGGGCUUGGGAGCCUGAGGUAAUGGGUUCAAGUCCCGACUCAGCCA